GUAUGGUGUUGCAUAUGCCUCAGGCGCAUACGAAGACGGAAAUCUGCUUCGUCAACUCCAUUGCCUUCACCUUUGUCAUUCUACUUGCCUUCUUCAAAAAAAUCAAGAUUCCCAGAAUGAGGAGAUUGAAGAGGCUCCCAUUGGAAAAAUGACAGAAUGCAACACUGAUACGCCCACUGAGCAUGUUCUUCCCCUCGAAGAUGCUCAACACUCCUUCGAUGCAAAUCAGUUUGCAAAACAUGGUUAGCAAUCAUAUCAGACCCUGAUUUUGUCAAAGCUCACUGCAUCGAAUCCCAGAAAAGACAACCUAGUUGCGAGAGAUAUAUCACCAAAUCAUGAUUGAUGAUCAUGAAAGAAAAACCCUCCUCCAAGUUGAUACUUGAAUUGUCAAGUGACAAUGACGGUUCUCCAAGUUGUCAUGGGACUGAAAUCAUGUGUCGUGCUUGUAGUUUAGAGUGCGAGUAAGGGGUGACUCCAAUCUUGUAAUACAUUCUUAUUUAGUGGUUUGUGAUUUUACCCUCCCUCGAGAGGUUUCCACUUUUA